rnacentral:tRNA from 1 species
GGGAUACUAGCUCAGGGGUAGAGCACCCGCCUUUUAAGCGGGGUGUCGAUGGUUCGAUUCCAUCGUAUCCCACCA